AUCCUUCUCCAUUACAGAGCCAGUUGUCAGGUGCUGGGCAUCACUGUUGCGAACAAGGACAUGAACCUAAAAUUAACCCUCAUCCAGAAUGUCAUGGAGAUUAGCUGUGCCAUCUUGGAGACCAGAGACUCCCAAGAGUUCGAAUUCUCAUACAAACUGGAGCUCCUUGGCUACAUGUUGGUGAGUGAUUAGGAGCUUUGAGGACUGAAGUACAAGAGAGUUUGUUGUAAUGUAAUGAGACUGGUUUUCUGGGGAGAUGAUAUUUUAUCCAUUGGCUGUGACUGUACUACUGCAGU